GACGAACGCUGGCGGCGUGCUUAACACAUGCAAGUCGAACGGAAAGGCCCUGCUUUUGUGGGGUGCUCGAGUGGCGAACGGGUGAGUAACACGUGAGUAACCUGCCCUUGACUUUGGGAUAACUUCAGGAAACUGGGGCUAAUACCGGCUAGGAGCUCCUGCUGCAUGGUGGGGGUUGGAAAGUUUCGGCGGUUGGGGAUGGACUCGCGGCUUAUCAGCUUGUUGGUGGGGUAGUGGCUUACCAAGGCUUUGACGGGUAGCCGGCCUGAGAGGGUGACCGGCCACAUUGGGACUGAGAUACGGCCCAGACUCCUACGGGAGGCAGCAGUGGGGAAUAUUGCACAAUGGGCGGAAGCCUGAUGCAGCAACGCCGCGUGCGGGAUGACGGCCUUCGGGUUGUAAACCGCUGUCGCCUGUGACGAAGCGUGAGUGACGGUAAUGGGUAAAGAAGCACCGGCUAACUACGUG
rnacentral:rRNA from 1 species